rnacentral:rRNA from 1 species
GUACACUCCUGCGGGAGGCAGCAGUGGGGAAUUUUGGACAAUGGGCGAAAGCCUGAUCCAGCAAUGCCGCGUGAGUGAAGAAGGCCUUCGGGUUGUAAAGCUCUUUUGUCAGGGAAGAAACGGUGAGAGCUAAUAUCUCUUGCUAAUGACGGUACCUGAAGAAUAAGCACCGGCUAACUACGUGCCAGCAGACGCGGUAAUACGUAGGGUGCAAGCGUUAAUCGGAAUUACUGGGCGUAAAGCGUGCGCAGGCGGUUUUGUAAGUCUGAUGUGAAAUCCCCGGGCUCAACCUGGGAAUUGCAUUGGAGACUGCAAGGCUAGAAUCUGGCAGAGGGGGGUAGAAUUCCACGUGUAGCAGUGAAAUGCGUAGAUAUGUGGAAGAACACCGAUGGCGAAGGCAGCCCCCUGGGUCAAGAUUGACGCUCAUGCACGAAAGCGUGGGGAGCAAACAGGAUUAGAAACCCCAGUAGUCCCAU